rnacentral:rRNA from 1 species
UUCUUCCUACGGGACGCAGCAGUGAGGAAUAUUGGUCAAUGGGCUUACGCCUGAACCAGCCACGUCGCGUGAGGGAAGACUGCCCUAUGGGUUGUAAACCUCUUUUGUCAGGGAGCAACGCCGGCUACGUGUAGCCGGACUGAGAGUACCUGAAGAAAAAGCAUCGGCUAACUCCGUGCCAGCAGCCGCGGUAAUACGGAGGAUGCGAACGUUAUCCGGAUUUAUUGGGUUUAAGGGGUGCGUAGGCGGAAUGCCAAGUCAGCGGUAAAAUCGCGGGGCUCAACCUCGCUCCGCCGUUGAAACUG